rnacentral:lncRNA from 1 species
GAAAUAUCUUCCCACAUCUUUCAAUCUUGGCCGUUGCAGCAUUUCCCAUGGAAAGCGUCUCGUCGGGUCCAGCAGAAGCAUAUGUAAAAAAUGCUUCUCUCACAGCACAAACAUGGCGGGUGGCUCCAAAAUCAAUCAACCAUUCCUUAGGAUUGCCGACCAAGUUGCAUUCAAAAAGCAUGACACACAAGUCAUCAACAUCAUCA